CGAGCGGCCCAGGUCCUCAGAAGGCUGGAGCCGCAUCAAGGACGGAGGACCAUCUUCAGGCACGUCACUGAGAACAACCGGCGGAAGCUGGAGCAGCAGAGGCAGCUCCCCUGCACGCGAUGCUGGUACCGCAGCGGAGGAGAAGGUGCCGGAGGCGGCGGCUGUAGCAGUGGCUGUUAGCAAAAAGGGGCUGGGAGGCUUCUCAGCUUCUCAGAUCCACCUAAAAAUACAAAAUAAAGGGCUCUGGGGCUGUUCCCAGCUGGA